rnacentral:rRNA from 1 species
UACGUAGGGGGCAAGCGUUGUCCGGAAUCAUUGGGCGUAAAGCGCGCGUAGGCGGCCCGAUAAGUCUGCUGUAAAAGUCAACGGCUCAACCGUUGAAAGCCGGUGGAUACUGUCGGGCUAGAGUCCGGAAGAGGCAAGUGGAAUUCCUGGUGUAGCGGUGGAAUGCGCAGAUAUCAGGAGGAACACCUAUAGCGAAGGCAGCUUGCUGGGACGGUACUGACGCUAAGGCGCGAAAGCUAGGGAGCAAACGGG